AUUGAACGCUGCCGGCAGGCUUUACACAUGCAAGUCGAACGGUAACAGCACUUCUGUGGCUGACGAGUGGCGUACGGGUGAGUAAUACAUCGUAACGUGCCUAGUAGUGGGGGAUAACUACGCGGAAUAGUAUCUAAUACCGCAUGAGAUCUCAGGAUGAAAGCAGGUGACCUUCGGGCCUUCCGCUACUAAAGCCGCUGAUGGCAGCUUAGGUAGUUGGUGGGAUAAAAGCUUACCAAGCCGACGAUCUGUAGCUGGUCUGAGAGGACGACCAGCCACACUGGGACUGAGACACGGGCCAGACUCCUACGGGAGGCAGCAGUGGGGAAGUUUGGACAAUGGGCGCAAGCCUGAUCCAGCAAUGCCGCGUGAAGGAUGAAGGCCUUCGGGUUGUAAACUGCUUUUGUACGGAACGAAAAGCCCUCUUAUAAUACAGGAGGGUCAUGACGGUACCGUAAGAAUAAGCACCGGCUAAUUACGUG
rnacentral:rRNA from 1 species